rnacentral:rRNA from 1 species
AGUGAACGCUGGCGGUAGGCCUAACACAUGCAAGUCGAACGGCCGCACAGUACGAGAUCUCUCUUCCGCGUGGCGAGUGACUUACGGGUGAGGGAUAAACCGGUAUCUAAUUUUUCGUGGAGGAUGGCGUAGGGAAACGUACGCAUAUAUAGCAUCCCAUCUACGUGAUUAUUCAGGGGAUCUUCGGUCAUAGCUGGUAUUACUGCGCUAAGGUAGGGUUAGCCAGUUGGUGGGGUAAUGGCCCACCAAGGCGACGAUCCUAACGUGGUCUGAGAGGCUGACCGGCCACACUGGAACUGAGACACGGUCCAGACUCCUACGGGAGGCACAAGUGGGGAAUAUUGGACAAAGGGCGCAAGCCUGAUCCAGCCAUACCGCGUGGGUGAAGAAGGCCUUCGGUUUGUAAAGCCCUUUUGUUGGGAAAGAAGAGUAGCAGGGUAAUACCCCGCUGUUCUGACGGUACCCUAAGAAUAAGCACCGGCUAACUUCGUG